AGAGUGUGGAUAUGUGGGUGUGUGCAUGUGUGGGCAUGUGCAUGUGUGAGCGUGUGCAUGUGCAUAUGCAUGUGAAGUUGGGGGCUUCCUUACGGAUCUCCAGGGAAAGAGUUCGUUUCCCCUGGUUUAAUCCUAUUCUGGCCAACAUUCUGUUUUUGAAACCACGGAACUUCUCUUCAGGCUCCUCCCAUUGCAGGUGACGUGUCUUUCGGGGAGUUUGUCUUUCCAGAGCUGCAGCGGCUCGUUGCCUCCAGAAGCGUCGCCCCGCAGCCACUGCUCCCUGGAACUGCAGUGUCUCUGCCCCCUGCUUUGCCUCCCCUUUAUCUUAUUCCUGGAGUCUUUCCUGGCACCACAGAUGCUGUCUCCUGCCCUUCCCUCCAUUAGCUUCUUGCCUCCGUCUGGCCCAUCCAGCCCCGAGAGACGGCUGUUUCUCGGCAUCACACAGAACACCUAGGCUGGCACCACGCAGUUGUUAUUGCAAAUUAAUAUUGGGUAAUUAUUAAGAACACAAUUAAUAAUAACAAUUGUAGUUUAACAACAGAGCAAACCAUAGCUCCCUUAGAGCUUAAGGAGCUUCCCAGUAAGCUAUUAUGUGUUAACUCAUGUGUCGUUUCAAUUUCUAACUUUAAUUUAAUGACCAGACUUAAGAGUCAAGCCGGCCCCUGCCUGCGGCAAAUGAAUUCAGUUCCAGGCACAGCUGGGGAAGUGUGUCCAGCCCUGCAGUUCCUUCCACCCUGCUGAGGCGAGGGGGCCAGGUGGUGGAUGCAGCGGGAGGCCAGCCGGGGAGCUGGCUGGGCUGGGAGGACAGGGGUCCCCGACUGCUCACAGCUCUGGGUGCCGGGCUGGGGCUGGAGGGUUUGGGCGCAGGUGAUUGGGCCAAACAUGCGUCUUCCUCAGGGCUUCCUGGAGAAGACGCAACUCUCUCCUCUCCUUUCCUCCCAGGGCCCCUCACCAGGAGCGUCAUGGAGGGUGGAAGCCCCACGUGCUUGGCCCCAAGUUAUCAGCAGAACUGCUGCUGGCUCCAGGCGCCAAGGUUCCCUGCCCUCCCUAUCCUCUCCUCUCACGGGACCAGAAGCAGAGACCUGGGAGCAGACAGAGGAGAGAAGCUGAACUUGUACAGAGGAACCCAGGCCUGGCAGGUGCGGCGUGGACGCCCAGGGCCAGGAAGUCUCAUCGGGCUCCUCUCCUGUAUCUUCAGUGGCUUCUGAAUAGAUGCCAGACCACAGCCAAACCAGACUUGCCCCCUGGACCUGGCUGUAUCCACAUGAUUCCAGGGAGCCUGGAGUCCUUGGCUCAGAAGGGACCCUGGAGGUCACCUGAUCUUUCUUCUGACUCCAGUCAAGCGAAUGGUUAAAUUGGACAGGACAGUUGGAUUCAUCCUAUUUUAAAAUAUCCUUGGAGAUAGGGACUGUGUGCUCUGCCUCUGUCUGGGUUUCUGACUCCAGUGCUGCUUAAUUAUGCACUCUGCAGGGAGCACCUCCUCAUGUCCAACCUGAAUCCCUGGCUGUCCCUGUGGCCCAUUGCCUUCCAUUCUGCCCACUGGGGCCACACUGCCUCUUGUCUUCCCUGUUCUCCACUCCCCCAGGCCAGCUUAUUUCCUAGGCUGGGACCAUUAGUAUCAUUGGCCUUUGCAGAUGCUGCAUCUUAAUGACCCAGAUCAACGGCAGAGGUGCCACCUGAGCUCCACUCCCAAGCCUGGUCUGGUGGAAAGAGAUCAGGCUGAGUCAGGGCCAUGGCAUGUUCCACAUGGCACCCAAAAGGAGGUGAGUCUGCCCUUGAGUGCCUCCAAGGUUGCUUAGUCUCCGAGAGUCCUGUGCAGUGACAGUGCCCAGGCAGAAGGGCGCCCAGAGGAGCAGCCCUGUGUGUUUACUGGAUCAGUCAGACACAUUUAAGGACUAUCUGGUUUAUGCCAUGUGCUGUGCCGCAUGCUGAGAGCCGUCAGUGACUAAAUUGCAGUUCCUGCCUUCAUGAAGCUCUGUCACAAGGCAGAAACAA